rnacentral:rRNA from 1 species
AACGAACGCUGGCGGCAUGCCUAACACAUGCAAGUCGAACGAGACCUUCGGGUCUAGUGGCGCACGGGUGCGUAACGCGUGGGAACCUGCCUUUAGGUUCGGAAUAACUCAGAGAAAUUUGAGCUAAUACCGGAUAAUGUCUUCGGACCAAAGAUUUAUCGCCUUUAGAUGGGCCCGCGUAAGAUUAGCUAGUUGGUGGGGUAAAGCCUACCAAGGCGACGAUCUUUAGCUGGUCUGAGAGGAUGAUCAGCCACACUGGGACUGAGACACGGCCCAGACUCCUACGGGAGGCAGCAGUGGGGAAUAUUGGACAAUGGGCGAAAGCCUGAUCCAGCAAUGCCGCGUGAGUGAUGAAGGCCUUAGGGUUGUAAAGCUCUUUUACCCGAGAUGAUAAUGACAGUAUCGGAGAAUAAGCUCCGGCUAACUCCGUGCCAGCAG